UAAGAAGUUAAACAAGCGCAUAAAAAGAAUGCCUAGACGUAAGACACCGAUGAAGGACGUAGUAAUCUGCGAUAAGCUUCGGGGAGCUGAUAAACAAGCUUUGAACCGAAGAUUUCCGAAUGGGGAAACCCAGCUAGAUUCAUCUCUAGUUGCGACAAACUGAAUACAUAGGUUUGUUAGCGGGAACCGGGGGAACUGAAACAUCUUAGUACCUCGAGGAAGAGAAAGUAACCAACGAUUCCGGUAGUAGUGGCGAGCGAAUCCGGAAGAGCCCAAACCUUUUUAACUUCCAUCUGCCAAUUUGGCAGUAGGAUAAGUUGACAGACGAAUGUUAACAAGGGGUUGUAACACUACAAACAACCAGUAUUGAGUUCUGCUUGCAGAAUUCAAUAUUGGCCGUACACUCUGUCAUAGGUGUACAUAAGGUUUUAUAAAAUUGUGAAGCGAGUAGAAUCACCUGGAAAGGUGAGCCAUAGACGGUGAUAGCCCGGUAUAUUAAGUAUUCACAAACCUUAUAUUUGUAGACAUGAGGCAGAACUUGUAGUUUUAUCUACAACACUAACGUGUUGUUUUACAGAUAGAAAAACAGGUUUUGUCUCAUGGUUGUUGAGUAGGUCGGGACACGAGAAAUCCUGACUGAAUCUGGAACGACCACGUUCCAAGGCUAAAUAUGUCUUACGAUCGAUAGUGAACCAGUACCGUGAGGGAAAGGCGAAAAGAACCCCGGAAGGGGAGUGAAAUAGAACCUGAAAUUUUAUGCGUACAAGGAGUCGGAGCCCUUCGGGGUGACGGCGUGCUUUUUGUAGAACGAUCCAGCGAGUUACAUACUAUUGCAAGCUUAAGUUUUAUAACGGAGGCGAAGUGAAAGCGAGCGUGAAUAGCGCGUUUAGUAAUAGUAGGUAGACCCGAAACCAGGUGACCUAACCAUGGGCAGGUUGAAGCGUAGGUAAAACUACGUGGAGGACCGAACCGUAGCAUAUUGCAACAUGCCCGGAUGACCUGUGGUUAGCGGUGAAAUGCCAAUCGAACCUGGAGAUAGCUGGUUCUCCUCGAAAUAGCUUUAGGGCUAGCGUCGUACGGUAGCCGAUAGGGGUAGAGCUCUGUUUCGGACUGGGGUCUUUAUUGAUACCCACCCUUGACAAACUACGAAUACUAUCGGUGGUACUACGGCAGUUAGAACGUGGGGGCUAAGCUCCACGCUCGAAAGGGAAACAGCCCAGAUCACCAUCUAAGGUCCCAAAGUUUAUGCUAAGUGGGAAACGAGGUGAGAUUUCUUAAACAAUGAGGAUGUUGGCUUAGAAGCAGCCAUUCAUUUAAAGAGUGCGUAACAGCUCACUCAUCAAGAGAUCUCGCGCGGAAAAUGUAACGGGGCUAAGCAUAGCACCGAAGAUGUGAGCUACAGUUUACUGUAGCGGUAGAGGAGCGUUGAUAUCUGCAUUGAAGUCGAACUGCGAGGUUCGGUGGAGCGUUAUCAAGUGAGAAUGCUGGAAUGAGUAACUUCAAGACAGGUGAGAAUCCUGUCGGCCGAAAGAGCAAGGUUUCCUGGGCCACGAUAAUCGUCCCAGGGUUAGUCGGUCCUAAGCCGAGGCGCGUAGCGUAGGCGAUGGACAUCAGGUUAAUAUUCCUGAACUGGUUGUAGUUUUGUUUGGAACGACGCGGCAUAUUAGCGAAGGCGGAUUCAUGGUUAUAUCCGUCUAACCUUCAGAAAUAGGAGGGAAUGAAAGGGACUUUAUUGUCUUGAUCUUCGUAAAAGUGCUGACUAGAAAAUCUUUCAAACUUACAACUACAGCCACCCGUACCGCAAACCGACACAGGUGCUCAGGUCGAGUAGACCAAGGCUUACGAGUGAUUCUUCGUCAAGGAACUCGGCAAUACAGCGACCGUAACUUCGGGAUAAGGUCCGCCCCCUCUUGAGGGGGUUGCAACAAAAGAGCCCACGGAACUGUUUACCAAAAACACAGGUCUCUGCUAACACGAAAGUGGAUGUAUAGGGGCUGACUCCUGCCCGGUGCUGGAAGGUUAAGGCGAUGGCUUCACGGCUUGAACUGAAGCCCCAGUGAACGGCGGCGGUAACUAUAACCGUCCUAAGGUAGCGAAAUUCCUUGUCAGGUAAAUAAACUUGCCUGGAUGGUCCGUAAGGAUCAUCGCUUACAAGGAGGUAAACAGAUACGAAUUCGUUGCGUUAAGCAACGUGGCUAUAUGCUGGAAACUCUCUUAAAUUCCAACGGGAAACCGGUUGGACUACGCAGAAAUGCAUGGAGACAAUCAGCAGGGAAGAUCUAGUUUCGACUAGAAACCCUCAGAGACUACACGCCACGCUCCAUAAAUUGAGAAAAACCUAGUUUUGUCUCAUAUAUGGAUGAAGAUAUAGUCCGAUCUCAAUGGCGACAUUGAGGAUGCAAAAUUCGAUGCAUCGUAAAAACACUCGUCAGUAAACAAUCUGAAAAUUCUUGAUAGAAGCUUUAGAAACAGUGAACAAUGAACCCAUAGCGGUUAACAG
rnacentral:rRNA from 1 species